rnacentral:rRNA from 1 species
GAUGAACGCUGACAGAAUGCUUAACACAUGCAAGUCAACUGGAAUUUGGGUUUUUAACUUAGGUUUGGGUGGCGGACGGGUGAGUAACGCGUAAAGAACUUGCCUCACAGCUAGGGACAACAUUUGGAAACGAAUGCUAAUACCUAAUAUUAUGAUAAUAGGGCAUCCUAUAAUUAUGAAAGCUAUAAGCGCUGUGAGAGAGCUUUGCGUCCCAUUAGCUAGUUGGAGAGGUAACGGCUCACCAAGGCGAGGAUGGGUAGCCGGUCUGAGAGGGUGAUCGGCCACAAGGGGACUGAGACACGGCCCUUACUCCUGCGGGAGGCAGCAGUGGAGAAUAUUGGACAAUGGACCGAGAGUCUGAUCCAGCAAUUCUGUGUGCACGAUGAAGUUUUUCGGAAUGUAAAGUGCUUUCAGUUGGGAAGAAACAAAUGACGGUACCAACAGAAGAAGUGACGGCUAAAUACGUG